rnacentral:rRNA from 1 species
AUUUGAUCAUGGAGCAGGAUGAACGCACUAAGCAGGCCUAAUACAUGCAAGUCGAACGAGAUUAAGAGGCUUGCUUCUAAAGUGGCGCACGGACACGUAACGCGUAUGCAACCUACCUUAAUCAGGGGGAUAGCCCGAAGAAAUUCGGAUUAAGACCGCAUAAAAACACAGGAUAGCAUUAUCCAAUGUUCAAAUAUUUAUAGGAUUAAGAUGGGCAUGCACUUCAUUAGCUAGUUGGCGGGGUAACGGCCCACCAAGGCGACGAUGACUAGGGGAUCUGAGAGGAUGACCCCCCACACUGGUACUGAGACACGGACCAGACUCCUACGGGAGGCAGCAGUAAGGAAUAUUGGUCAAUGGAGGAUCCUCUGAGCCAGCCAUGCCGCGUGCAGGAAGACAGCCCUCUGGGUCGUAAACUGCUGACAUAGUUCAAUAAACCUGUCUACGUGUAGGAAGCUGAAUGUACCGAAGGAAUAAGGAUCGGCUCCAGCCGUGCCAGCAGCCGCGGUAAUACGGAGGAUCCAAGCGUUAUCCGGAUUUAUUGGGUUUAAAGGGUGCGUAGGCGGCUUAUUAAGUCAGGGGUGAAAGACGGUGGCUCACCCAUCGCAGAAUUGUUUGAUACUGAUGAGCUUGAAUACACUAGAGGUAGGCGGAAUGUGACAAGUAGCGGUGAAAUGCAUAGAUAUGUCACAGAACACCGAUUGCGAAGGCAGCUUACUAUGGUGUUACUGACGCUGAGGCACGAAAGCGUGCUCGUCAAACAGGAUUAGAUACCCUGGUAGUCCACGCCCUAAACGAUGAAUACUCGCUGUGCUCGAUAUACAGUUAGCGGCUAAGCGAAAGCGUUAAGUAUUCCACCUGGGGAGUACGCCCGCAAGGGUGAAACUCAAAGGAAUUGACGAUCGCCCGCACAAGCGGAGAGUCAUGUGGUUUAAUUCGAUGAUCUACGAGGAACCUUACCCGGGCUUGAAAGUUAGUGAAUGAUCUAGAGAUAGAUCAGUGAGCAAUCACAAUCAACUAGGUGCAUGAUGGCUGUCGUCAGCGAUGUGAGGUGUUGGGUUAAGUCCCGCAACGAGCGUGAGACCUAUGUUUAGUUAUGAGCACGUUAAGGUGUCUUCUCUAAACAGACUGCCUGUGCAAUUAGAGACUAAGUACGACGUCAAGUCAUCAUGGCCCUUACGUCCGACGCUACACACGUGCUACAAUGGAUGGUACAGAGGGCAGCAAGCUGGCAACAGCAAGCGAAUCUCAAAAAGCCAUUCACAGUUCGGAUAGAGGUCUGCAACUCGACCUCUUGAAGUUGGAUUCGCUAGUAAUCGCGUAUCAGCAAUGACGCGGUGAAUACGUUCCCUUGUACACACCGCCCGUCAAGCCAUGGAAGUUGGACUUACUAUAUGUAACCGUAAGGAGCGUCCUAGACGUUCACCGAUAACUGGACGUAAGUCGUAACAACGU